rnacentral:lncRNA from 1 species
GUGAAAUAUCCAAAUUGCCAUUCCGCCACGGAUCACUGAUUAAGCAUUGGGGAAAAGGAAGGUCCAUUGUUUCCAAAUGAAGCACGGAAAUUAAUUCCUCCGCAGUUCAGUUACUACUCGCUCCCAACACUACAUCUCCCUCCAUAUACCCAAACCCCCAUUCUCAUAUACCCAAACCCCCAUUCUCAUAUACCAAACCCCCAUUCUCAUAUACCCAAACCCCCAUUCUCAUAUACCAAACCCCCAUUCUCAUAUACCAAACCCCCAUUCCCAAAUACCCUACAACACCGCCGAUUCACCUGUGCCACACACACAAACCAAACUAUAAUCUAUUAAGCAAAGAAACCGGCAAUGGACAGUAUAAAAAAAAAUGCAAGUGAAAAGCGAUAGGUGGACUAGCAUGGUCAAGCGACAAUGAACGCAGAGAAUAACCCGGAACUGAUGCCACAGGUCUGGUCCCCGGGAGAAAUUUCCACCCAAUGACUCGCUUCUUAAGACGCUCAGAAGCUGCUAACGGAACAAAAAACAGCCGUAUCAACAGGUUCCCAUUCAGGCACAACAACUGUUUGACAAGAAAAAAAGAGACGUUUAGCGAGUGGCGAGAGAAAAGAUGAACAUAGAAGUAAAUCCCCAAAGUACCCCCCGGAAGGACCAGAAAAGGGCGACAGUCCCGGCACAACUGCUAGAGUCAAACACAAAGAGCUUUAGAAAGGCCUGGGAAAGUUGACCCCCACCAGCCAAGAAAAAAAGAAAGAACCCAAGAAAUGCAAACGAAAACCAGCUAACGAGCGCAAACACAAGAUCAGUAAUUUCAUACACACUCGAAAAACAUAUAUUGCCCAAGAAUUGGGUGAUUCGCGUAUGGCAAGGAAGGUAUACUGUUCUGAAUCGCCAAAACAUUGGCCCUUGACUGUCCAAUCCAAAUGCAGUAAGCCC